rnacentral:rRNA from 1 species
AUUGAACGCUAGCGGUAUGCUUAACACAUGCAAGUCGAACGGUAACAGGCCCAGCUUGCUGGGUGCUGACGAGUGGCGGACGGGUGAGUAACGCGUAGGAAUCUACCUUAAAGUGGGGGAUAACCUGAGGAAACUCAGGCUAAUACCGCAUGUGCCUUAAGAGGUAAAGCAGGGGAUCUUCGGACCUUGUGCUUUAAGAUGAGCCUGCGUCGGAUUAGCUUGUUGGUGGGGUAAAGGCCUACCAAGGCGACGAUCCGUAGCUGGUCUGAGAGGAUGAUCAGCCACACUGGGACUGAGACACGGCCCAGACUCCUACGGGAGGCAGCAGUGGGGAAUAUUGGACAAUGGGCGAAAGCCUGAUCCAGCAAUACCGCGUGUGUGAAGAAGGCCUGAGGGUUGUAAAGCACUUUCAGUAGGAGGAAGGACUUAGUAUUAAUACUGCUAAGUAUUGACGUUACCUACAGAAGAAGCACCGGCUAACUC